UGGUCCUUGCUACGGAGCCCCUAAAUGGACAUGGAAAAAAAGUGAAACGUUUCUCGUGAGCACAAGAUACUUUCUUGUGCUCAUCAGAAAGUAUCCCGUGCUCACGAGAUACUUUUCUGGUCCGCUCGAGAAGGUAUCUCGUGCUCACGAGAAACCUUGGGUUAAGCACAGGCAGUUGUGCUUCCUGUGCAUAUGCCUCUAGGCUCAGAUCUUUAAAAGAAUGGCAGCAGAAAAUGGACUUAUUCUCUUCCCUGAAAACGCGAAAUAUACCUGAUAGUGUCAUCAGUCAACUAAAAGAUGAUAAGAUCGACAUCGACGUCAUAGAUGUUAUGACAGAUGCGGAGUUAGGACAAUAGAUCAAACAAUAUGGGGACAGACUUGCACUCAGAGCGUUUUGUCGUCAAAGAACUGUGACAAACGAAAAGUCAUGAGGAGUGGAGACAGUGAAGAGACAGGCUCGGGGAACAUCGGAAAACUCCUGUCAACAGAGACACAGAAUGCUCUGGUAUUGUUGGCAAUAAACAUGCACUCAAAGCCACCCGGCGGGUUGAAAUGGGAUGGCUCCACUUUGAUAACGGCACUUAUCACCUGUCAGUCCAGAAAUCAGUAACUAUGGGUGAACUGCUGGAGACGGGCAAGGGCUUGUUUUUUCCAAAUGGAUAUUCAUCCAAAGGACCGGUGGAAGACUUCGAGUUAAGAUAUUCGUGAUUACAGUCACAAUGCAGUAUCCCCUGAAAUCACAGUGAGCCAGCUGUACGAGCAGACUAAGCUACGAAUGCUGCGUAUCUACACAACCUCCAAGGCUAAACGUAACACUUCUCUCUGAUGCAUCUGACUUCGAGCCCACAGAUGAGAGGCCAAUGAAGACUAGGACAAUGCAGAGACGAUCCUUGAGGAACAAAACCAGGAGACGUCAUCACUGGGGGACUGGAACUGAUCAUCGAGUGGAUGAUCUAGAGAGCUCCACUGAUUUAGAUCCAGCACCCAGUGGCUCAAUGCAGGAAAACCAUAAAAAAAAUAAGCCCCAGUAUUGCAUUUUU